CAUGGAUAAAUGCUUCCCACUCCCUGAAGGUCCUUCGUGGCAGAGAGGAGCUUGGGGAAUGAGGACUUGGGGUAGGGAAGAACAAGACAGAGCCAGGGACUGAAAGUUAAGGGUCCAGGAACAAGACCACUCAUACUUGGAUCCUUGGGGUCCUCAUUUGGAAGUAGGGGGAAUCAUUGCCCUGGCUGAGGUGAGGAUGCCUUCUGAGAAAACUAGACACCCCAGAGGGGAGUGGCAAAGAGGGCGGCAGGAGUGUCUUCUGAGGUCCCUUCCACAGCCCUGAAAUCCUUCAGGGCCUGCUGUUUUACUCCUGGGACUCCGGAGAGCCUUUGCCUUGAGGUCACCCAAAGAAAGAUUCCUGCCUGGGGCUGCAGUGCUAGUGCUGGCCACCAGGGGACAGGCAGCCUCCUGGUUCAUGGUGCCCACUGAGCUUUGCUGGAGCAAUUGGGGCAGGAAGAGCCAUGCAGAAUGUCAUUUCGGCCACGCCUCUGCUUCAGAAACAAUAUGCACCUCCUACGAUUAGUGAUCAUUUCUACAGAAUGAGCUGGGCAGAGGCAGGAAGAAGAGCUCCAAGAUCUCCCCAUUUAUUUAUUUAUUCGGAGAUUUAUUUAUUUAUUUAUUCCGAGAUUAUGGCUCACCCUGUGCCAGGUGCCAAAUGGUCUCUCUCUUCCAGGAGCUUUCAGUCUGGAGGAGAGAAGGACAAAAGCACAGAAGCAAGACAUGUGAAAGAAAAGAAGCUCCACCCAGGACAUUGUCAAGGAGCUGGUUGAUGGGUUCAACUCCUCCAUCUCACUAGACAAGGGGCAGAUGCAUCUGGCGAUGAACAAUGGCCAACACUGGUCUGGGGAGUCAACCCUCUCCCGGGAUGAGGCCUACUCAAUGCCGACCCCCAAGGCAGGCACAAUGGAGAAGGUGGUAGAGUCCCUGGUACCAGCUUUCCCGGAUAGAAACAUCUCCUACAUUGCCGCCUUCCCAUGCAUGUACCAGGUCUUCACCACCACCCAACAGGUACUGGACUAGCUGCCCCAUAGGCGAGUGCUGCCGCCUCCAGAGCACAGUGGUUAGUGUCCCAUCUACCAACCGUGUGUCUGGGGAAUGUCAACACACCUCUGUGAGCUUUACUUUGCUCUUCUGAAAAGUGGGUUGGUAAGAAGAUGAACCUCAUAAAGUUAUUUUAGGAAAUCAUGGAAUCAGCCAAGGCAGGUGCUUACCUGGUGCCUGGUUCUGCAAAAAGGGCUGGGGAAUGUGCUGUGGUUGUUCAUGGUGAUUAUUUUUCUUUCCCCCAUGAAAAGCAGACUUCCUCACGCAUCACUGGGAUUUAGCCUUUCUGAGUUUGGAAAACCAGAUGGACACCCUGUCCAGGAGUUUGAGGUUCUCUCCAGCUGAUCUUGACUGCUACAUGGCACACAUUUACAACUUGCAAUGCAACACUGAGACAGACACCGUUAAUAA